UGGUAGAUGGCUCUGGUGCUAGCCAGCCAACUGUUGCUGACUGUUCCAUUUGUUGGCAGAAGGCUUAUGCUGUAUUCGAAUGAAAGAGCGAACAAUGAAUACUUUAACCGGCCUACUGAUUGCCUGCCUGGUGUUGACCGACGCGACGAGGUGUAUUGCCUAAAUCCAAUCCACGGAUUGCUUCCUAGUUGGAGAUUUGACAUCCUCGUGAUCCUGGUGUGCGUGCGCCAUCCUCGAGGAAAUUGCUAGUGACUGUUCGAGUGUUGUUGCAGCUAAGGUCAUCAGAGAGGCCAAC